AUUGAACGCUGGCGGCAGGCCUAACACAUGCAAGUCGAGCGGAUGAAGGGAGCUUGCUCCUGGAUUCAGCGGCGGACGGGUGAGUAAUGCCUAGGAAUCUGCCUGGUAGUGGGGGAUGACGUCCGGAAACGGGCGCUAAUACCACAUACGUUCUGAGGGUGAAAGUGGGGGAUCUUCGGACCUCACGCUAUCAGAUGAGCCUAGGUCGGAUUAGCUAGUUGGUGGGGUAAAGGCCUACCAAGGCGACGAUCCGUAACUGGUCUGAGAGGAUGAUCAGUCACACUGGAACUGAGACACGGUCCAGACUCCUACGGGAGGCAGCAGUGGGGAAUAUUGGACAAUGGGCGAAAGCCUGAUCCAGCCAUGCCGCGUGUGUGAAGAAGGUCUUCGGAUUGUAAAGCACUUUAAGUUGGGAGGAAGGGCAGUAAGUUAAUACGUUGCUGUUUUGACGUUACCAACAGAAUAAGCACCGGCUAACUUCGUG
rnacentral:rRNA from 1 species